GGGAGCAUAGCUCAGUUGGUUUAGAGCGUCUGCCUUACAAGCAGAGGGUCGGGGGUUCGACUCCCUCUGCUCCCACCA
rnacentral:tRNA from 1 species